GACGAACGCUGGCGGCGUGCUAACACAUGCAAGUCGAACGGAAAGGCCCCUUUGGGGGUACUCGAGUGGCGAACGGGUGAGUAACACGUGAGUAACCUGCCCUUGACUUCGGGAUAACUUCAGGAAACUGGGGCUAAUACCGGAUAGGAAUCCUUGCUGCAUGGUGGGGGUUGGAAAGCUUCGGCGGUUUUGGAUGGACUCGCGGCUUAUCAGCUUGUUGGUGGGGUAGUGGCUUACCAAGGCUUUGACGGGUAGCCGGCCUGAGAGGGCGACCGGCCACAUUGGGACUGAGAUACGGCCCAGACUCCUACGGGAGGCAGCAGUGGGGAAUAUUGCACAAUGGGCGGAAGCCUGAUGCAGCAACGCCGCGUGCGGGAUGACGGCCUUCGGGUUGUAAACCGCUUUCAGCAGGGGCGAAGCUUGUGGUGACGGUACCUGCAGAAGAAGCACCGGCUAACUACGUG
rnacentral:rRNA from 1 species